UACGUAGGGCGCAAGCGUUGUCCGGAAUUAUUGGGCGUAAAGAGCUCGUAGGCGGCCUGUUGCGUCCGCUGUGAAAUCCCGGGGCUCAACCCCGGGCCUGCAGUGGAUACGGGCUGGCUAGAGGCAGGCAGGGGAGAACGGAAUUCCUGGUGUAGCGGUGAAAUGCGCAGAUAUCAGGAGGAACACCGGUGGCGAAGGCGGUCCUCUGGGCCUGUACUGACGCUGAGGAGCGAAAGCGUGGGGAGCGAACAGG
rnacentral:rRNA from 1 species